rnacentral:misc_RNA from 1 species
CAGAGUCGCAAAACUCCCGCAAACCAUCGCGAAUCUUACCCGUACGGUUGCCUCGGCGCUGGCGGUCCGGAAGGCCCUCGGGCCCCCGGAUCCUCGGGUCUCCCGCUCGCGGGAGGCUGCCCGCCGGAGUGCCGAAACUAAACUCUUGAUAUCUUAUGUCUCUCUGAGUACACUUUUAAAUAAGUCA